UACGUAGGGCGCAAGCGUUGUCCGGAAUUAUUGGGCGUAAAGAGCUCGUAGGCGGCCUGUUGCGUCCGCUGUGAAAUCCCGGGGCUCAACCCCGGGCCUGCAGUGGAUACGGGCUGGCUAGAGGCAGGCAGGGGGGAACGGAAUUCCUGGUGUAGCGGUGAAAUGCGCAGAUAUCAGGAGGAACACCGGUGGCGAAGGCGGGUCUCUGGGCCGAUACUGACGCUGAGGAGCGAAAGCGUGGGGAGCGAACAGG
rnacentral:rRNA from 1 species